CCGCUACCCAUCUCACUAAAUGAUAACAUUCCUUGGUAACACUCGCUAGAAGCUGAAAGAAUGCUGCAUUGUGGUCUGACCCUUUCAGGGCUUCUUCCUGAGGUUAAAGCUAUGAGGAAAGGUGUGCUGCUCGACCCGUUGGGUUCCUCCAGCAGAUUGUUUGUUGCUCCAGAUUCCAGCAUCUGCAGUCGCUUGUGUCUACAAACUGAUGCCACCUAACCUGCUGAAGUUUCCAACCAUCCAGGAUUGACUUGGAGUCUCCAGAAACCUUCACAACAGUGCUGUAAGCAAUACCCAGACAGAACGUUACAAGACGUUAAACAAACUUGUGCUUGUUUUAGUUACAAAAUGAC